AGAGAAUGGAGUCACAGAAAGAGGCGCGAACACUCCAGGAACCCGUCGCGCGGCCGGCUGGGGCCUCAAGGUCUCAGACGCCAAACGACUAGGAGCUGCGGGAGGGCGGCAUAGUGCUGGUGACGGCACCAGCUGGUGACGGCUGCCCUGGGCACAGAGGCGGACGACGCUGGUACAGACUGGCUAUGGGAGCCGCAGGUGCAGCCGGCCGAGCCGAGGCCCGAGUGCAGCCGCCGCAGCCGGCCUCAGAAAGUGUGUUUGUGUCCAUUUCUCCCAGCGCACCCUUUGCAGAUCUCUACCCACUUGUACAUAAUUCAGCAUCCAGCAGAGGAAAACAAAAUGUUGUAGACAGUUCCUCUACUAGCAGCAUGCCUCCCUCAGGACAAGCGCAAAGUAAAGAUUGCUCGUCGCUUCAGUGAAGAAAAAGAUCCUGGACUUUCAACUGUUUGCUGGAAAUUUGGUACAUUAAUAUUAUAUCCAGGGGCUGAAGCUGCUAAUUUGGAAGAAUUUAUGUUAGAUUCUCCGGUUUAUCCUUUACAAUCAUCAUCAUUGAUGGUACACGGAGCCAGGCUAAGGACAUUUUCUGUAAGAAUUCCUUGUUCUGACACCCCAAACAGGUGCAGUUAAAAACUAGCAUUUCUAGUCAAUAUGUAAUUCGGAUGCAGCCAACUAAUAGAAGUCUUUCUACACUGGAGUGUGCAGCUGUUGCUCUUUCCAUCUUGGAGAAAAAUAAUUACAUAAAAGAGACUUUGUUUCACCCUCUUGAAGCUUUAUGCUCUUUCCAAUGUUAGCAUGGUGCCCAAAUUUGCCUCAGCAAGGAACACCUUCUGAAAAAUGGAUUAUAUCCUAAACCAAUGCCAAAGAACAAAUGCAAACUCAGGAAAAUGCAACUGUUAAAGAAUAGUGUUAAAAUUCAGUACAGUUGUUCUUUUGGUGCUAGCUUACCUGUCUUCAUCUAACAAUACCAAGUUAAGUUUUCAUAUAGUUUAGGUCUAUAGGUUUUUGACUUGUUAAAGUAGAAUGAGAAUUGCAUACUAAUCUUGCCCAGAAGAAGGAAGUAAACCAAAUAUCCAUAGAAACAAAUAAACAAACGAAAAUUCACUGACUCACUGAAAAGCAAGAUUUCAUACUGUACUUGUUUUUAAAAAUGUGCCUCUAAUAAUACAUGUUUUCAAACUCAAAUUUAAAAUGUGUUUUGUUGUUGAGCUGGGUUAGAAGUUCUUGCUUGUAAAAUAGAAGGAAAUCGUUGUGGUAGAUUGAAACAGUAUUGUUUUCAUUAAUGUUUAUAAAUAAGUAGGUGUAGACCAAUAAUAUAAGAUACCUACAUCAAUUUGCUGUCCUAACUUUAUAAUUUGAAAUAAGUAGCAGAAGAAAGUUAUGAUAAUCAAGUAAUUCAUUAUUUUGUAAAAUAAUAUAAAGGGAUAAGAAAACCUUAUUGUUAAGGGCUAAAUUUGAAUUCAGCUAAUAUGAUUUAAGUAUUCUAUUAAUUGCCCUGAUUUUUAAAGAGGUACAUGUAAUUUUGAAACAGCACACAUUUUCAUUUGCAGUUACUCUGGAUAAAUUUUUAUUUUUCAGUGUUCAUUGAACAGGCUUAUUGACUAUGGUAAACUUAUUUUAUUGAAGUUUUCAAAUGGAAAAUAGUAAGUGGAAUAUGAUACAACUGUUAUUUUCAGAACAUAUUUCUUUAGGGCUAUUUAAAAUAACCUUUUUACUGGGCAAAAACUUUCAACUUGAGAGAACAAAUUCCUCUCCUCUGUGGGAAAAUAUUUGCUGAGAUUUUGUAUAGAAUAAGAGACAUGUAGGUAACAUAUAUUUAUAUUCAGCAUAAGUCUACUGCAAUCAUGAACACGUCUUGGCAAGAAGAGGAGAUUUUGUUUUUAGUCUUUGUUUAUGUCUUCUAGAGUUUCCUGUAUCUAGUGUUAAGUUGUAAGGAAAAACUAAACAUGCAAUUUAAAGGUAAACUUGAUAACUAUUUAUGGAACAUAAGCAUACACUGAUGGUUAUUUCUCAUAGUUUUCAUGCUUAUUUGUUUAUUAUUUACUUGGAUUAGACUCAUUAAAAACCAUAAUGGUGGUCACAAUUAGAAUGUUAGUAUUUGGGGAAACUAUGCAGAAAAUAUUUUAAAAUAUUAAAAGUUAGAGUGCUAUCUUCUGUUGUUGAUUUAUUUUUGGAUUUAAAAACAAAUUAGGGCUGGGCCCAAUAGCUCACACCUGUAAUCCCAGCACUUUGGGAGGCUGAGAAGUGAGAAUUGCUUGAGUCCAGGAGUUUGAGACCAGCCUGGGCAACAUGGUAAGGCCCCAUCUCCACACAACUUUUUUUUUUUUUAAAUAAUUAUCCAGACAUGGUGGUGUGCACCUGUGAUCCCAGUUGCUUAGGAGGCUGAGGCAGGAGGAUUGCUUGGGCCCAAGAGGUCGAAGCUGCAAGAAGCUGUGUUCAUUCCACUGCACUCCAGCCUGGGUUACAGAGUGAGACCUGUCUCCAAAAA